rnacentral:lncRNA from 12 species
GGGGGGGGGGGGGGGGGGGGGGGGGGGGGGGGGGGGGGGGGGGGGGGGGGGGGGGGGGGGGGGGGGGGGGCUCCGGUCACCAUAGUGACGGGUCCCGGCGACGCCGGGACGGCUCCGGGCCUCUCCCCGUGUGCCUCGGAGCGAGCCGCCGUCCUGUCCUCCGGCAGCCCUUUGGGUGUUCCCCCGCCAGCCCCUGCAUGUGCUCCCGUGGCGUUCUGGAUCCAGCCCCGCCUUGAUCCUGCCCGCCGGGGUGCGUGCCGCCACCAUGGCCGGGGAGGGAGACAGGAGGAAGCGCUUUAUUUCGGCCACGGCUGCCAACUACUUCGGGCUGGACCCGGCGGGCGGUGCCGCUGCCCUGGCCGCGGGGCUGCAUUCCCGCCCGGAGCUGAGCCGGUUCCUCGACGACGGCAGUGAGUUCCUGCUGGUGGUGCAGCACUCGGGCGCGCAGCUCCGCGCCUCCAACAAGAUUGAAGCUACUGAUUCAGAGAAUAAUGUGUUGGUGUUCUUUAAGCUGAGACCUGAUGUAAUUACUGAAGAUAAUCUUCACAGUAAUAUUCUUGUGUCAUCUAUGCUAGAUUCACCAAUCAACACCCUCUAUCAAGCUGUACGACAAGUUUUUGCACCAGUACUACUGAAGGUGAGCAAUAUACUAGUUUAAAUGUUCUGUAGAUUUAUAUUGAGACAUUGGAAU